AUUGAACGCUGGCGGCAGGCUUAACACAUGCACGUCGAGCGAGCGGCGGACGGGUUAGUAAUUUCUGGGAAACUGCCUGAUGGCGGGGGAUAACUACUGGAAACGGUAGCUAAUACCGCAUACCAUCAGAUGUUCCCAGCUGGGAUUAGCUAGUAGGUGGGGUAAUGGCUCACCUAGGCGACGAUCCCUAGCUGGUCUGAGAGGAUGACCAGACACACUGGAACUGAGACACGGUCCAGACUCCUACGGGAGGCAGCAGUGGGGAAUAUUGCACAAUGGGCGCAAGCCUGAUGCAGCCAUGCGGCGUGUGUGAAGAAGGCCUUCGGGUUGUAAAGCACUUGCAGCGAGGAGGCGUUACUCGCAGAAGAAGCACCGGCUAACUCCGUGCCAGCAGCCGCGGUAAUUC
rnacentral:rRNA from 1 species